UAAUGAGAUUUUCGUGAUUUCCUUUUAGAUUAUUUUUUAAUCUAUUCAAUUUUGGGUGUGGGCGAGACAGUCUUAAUACGGUAAUGGGUGGGUAGCAGUACAGGAGCUGCAGAGAGUGUUAAACUUUGACCCUGCUUCCUGGUCUGAACCCUGAACCAUUCCGAACUAGAGACACUCUCCAUUCUAACAAGGCAUAACUUGUCUUUGUAGCACCUUCUCUGGUGAUGGAAAUUGCGUGCGAAUCUCAUGCACGCCGGAUGCGUUUUAGUUUGAAGCCGGCUCUGCUUGCUUGCGCGCUGCUCUUUUAGUUUCCAGUGUUGUGUUAUUUCUUAAUAAUCGGUCACUCAUAAUGGCACAGAAGAGGAUAAUUACUGGUUUGGAAGUUUUGGAUGACAUUUAGCGGACCAGUGACAUGAAAAUGGACUAUAUUCCAGACAGACAGCUGCGUCGAUUAGAAUGACGAUGAUGAAAAUUAAGCUCAGAAAAGAGGGGACUUCUUGAGAAAAGAAGGGACUUCUUGAGAAAGUUACGGUGUUUCUUCAUAUUUCCAGCUGAUAUGCAUUACAUGUCUGCUAUUUCAACAAUGUUUUAGCUAUUUUGUGUUUGUGAUUACUCUUGUGUAGGACAUAUGUUGUGUAGGACAUCUGUAAACAACAAUUAUCCCCCACUCUGCAUGUCUGUUUAUGUAAGACUGAUUUAAGGCUUGUUUGUUUUGAGUUUGACUCAGAAUCAGAGUCACUAUCAACUCUAUUGGCCAUGUUUGUGUCACAAAAAAGGAAUUUGAUUUAGGUUUCCACAACCACAUCAUGUAAAAACAUUUAGAGGUAUACAAAUAAGGACAACAAGCAGUAUAUACAAGGGUGUGUGAAAGGGGUGGUAUGGGGGGGACGUGCAGCCAUCAACAAUUUUGCACAUUGGUUUACAUAAUUUAUCAUGGAUUAUUCUUUUUUCUAUAAAAUUUCUCCAAUUGAAGACAAAAAGAUUUCCUUUCAUUAUAUUGAUUUUAUGCUGUGCACAAUGGCACAUGAUGAUACAUAGGAUAAAUGUCAUGACCAAAGGCUAUAUCAUAUGCAGAAGGAGUCUUAUAAUGGAGAUUAGCUUUUUUUAUUUGACCAGAUUCCCUUUGAUAAGGUGAAAAACACAUUCUGCACGGUUUUGGCACAUGUGGCUAAAUGUUGCCUGAAAUGCCAGCUCCGUCUGGCACAUUGCCCACUGAAACCUUUGUAGAACAAAUAUGCUUCAACUGAUUCAGUCCAUAUUUGCUGCAGUUAUACUCAAGAUGUUGAUGGAUAAAACCCAAGGAAAUUCCUAGGGUUUCAAAAUGAUUUUCAUGGUGUUUUGCAAUAUUCAUUUAGUGAAAAAUCUUGGCGAGGCUCAACAAAUUAGAUUUUUUUUUUGUUUAAUCACAAAUAAAUCAGACAUAGUAACAUUUGUAUUAAUGGUUCCACUGGAAAAAUAUUCUUUUAUCUCUGACCUUUACACAGGUACCAAAUAUUUGCAUUUACACUUUAUAACUGUGGAGUUAUACUUGGUUUAUUUAAGUUAUGUAAUUUUAGGUGGAAACUGAUCCAAAACCUCUUAGAGCUUAACAGGUUAAGUGUGACAAAAAAGAAGACUUACAGAGUAAUGCAACUUUUUACAGUAAGUGUAAGAGUGGCCUUACGUGUACUAACUGUCAGGGUCUGGGUUGUGUGUUUGUAUUGUGCUUGCAACAUUGUGUUCAGUUCCUAGAUGGUGCUGGAGUUCUCAGGUGCGUUGGCGGAAAGGUGUGGCUUAUUCUGCUGAUUGCAUGGAGAAGUAUUUAAGCAGGAGGAUGCCAGCACUUCGACGCCAGAGUGUUUGCCUUCAGUGGCUGACACCUGACUCUUGGAUUUACCUCGCUGAUCACAGAUUUCGGUCUCAGAAAUUCUGUUGGCCAAGACUUCCUACGCUUUUAGGAUUUCGUUUCCUAGACUCCUGACUUCUACCGAACUCCACUCUAGCUGGCAGCUUCCCUGCUUCCUCCGUUUCUUGGAUCAAGACAUAAGCGUACCCUGUCCACCCUCCAACAUAAGCAUCUGCAUCUUGGAUAACUUCAUGGUUUUUCCAGUCUCCUUCAAACAGCACCAGAGGAAACAUCUGAACGAACUCUGCUACGUAAAUCGAGACCCUGAAUCCCUCAACCCCUGGCAACCUGACUGCACCUACUUAUUGAAGAUUCACUUGUUCACGUUCCUGAUUAUUUGUUGCACAAUAAAACAUCAUUUUAC